CCCCCCUACUUCUCUCCUCUCUUCUCUCUCCUCGUCUGAAAAAACCCACCCCGCAGCAUCGGCUCCGCGCAGAUUCGCUCCCGUCCCCGCGGCCAUGGCGGCGACCUUCUCCAUCAGGCGCUGCGCCGAAGCGAUGCGAGGUACGCCGGCGGCGGCGCUCGGCCCCUUCGACCUCGCCGCCCGGGAUUUGCCGCCGAUGGAGGUCCGGUUCUUCCGAUGGUGGGAGGAUGAGUUUGCGGCUAUCAAGGCGGCUGAGGCGGAGGUGGAGGUGGAGGCGGAGGCGGAGCCUGUGGCGGAAGUGGACGAAGACGAGGAGGAGGCGCCGGGGAACGGGCGGACGCCGAAGAAGCGGUUCGUCUCCGACCUCUUCGCGGCGGCGCCUGCCGUGGACGCCGUCGUCGUCCCCAACCCCGCUGCGGACGAGGAGGAGGUCCUCGGCUCCAUCGUCAGGCGGCACAAGGAGAUGCGGAGGAAGCGGCGCCUGGAGGGAGCGGCGGCGGACGAGCCGGAGUCGUCGGCGGCGGCGGAACGGCGUGCGGCGGAGGGGAAUUUCGCCAGAAAGACAUCACUUGACAAGCCAAAUUUGGGAGAUGGGCUGGAUACUCCUGAUGCAUCAGAGGAACAUGAGGAUGAACAUCAUCUCAGUACAGAGAGGGAAAAGAUCACUGAUCUUAAGAGAAGGAAGCAUGGAAGACUCAAUAAUAGCUUACAGAAGAAGGCUAAUAGGCUGAAGUAUAUUGGGAGUACAAAGGCUAUUAAGGUGGGGAAACAUCGGGAUAUUAAAAAACUCCCGUUGCACAGCAUUCUGAAGAAGUACACGAAGCAUACAUCCGUCAAAAUGGUUAAGGAAAAGCAUGGCAAUUCAAAAGGCCCUGGAGUCAUAGAACUCUGCCGCAAAUCGGUUAAGCGUGUCAAAUUCUCAGAAGCAAAUGGUGCACUUGGCAGUAAGAAGCAAUGUUCCAAAAGACCCCAACUAGAAAGUAUCUGCCAGCUACUGUCUGAUGCUAUGAAUUCUUCUUCAUCAUCAUCCAUAGAAAUGUCCAGUGAAGAGGAACACAUUAUUGCAGAAAGCAGUAGUUCUCGCAUGCCUGAGAAAGCCUUUGCUAUGGCUAAGGAUGCAAAUGAUAACACAAAUCGUGAUUAUCAAUCCGAGCGCAGUAGUACUGUAAUGUCCACUGGUUUAUUUGAUCUGAAUAAAAAAUUGCCAGAUCCUGCUGACUUGAACAGCCCUUAUGAUCCAAAUUCAGAGGAGUCAUGUCUUCAGCAUACACAGGUUGGAACUCAGUGUAUGGAUCAACAAGUUAUUGACAAUGGAAAAAGAAGCCAUAAAGAGUCGUCUUUCACUCCAUAUGCCCAAGAAGAACAGCAACAUGCAGCUGACUUGGACAACAGAAUGAAGUCCCCGUGUAUACUGCGAAACCAAACUGUUCAGGAUUCGGUUCAGCUGCAAAAUUGGUGCUCCAUGACUAUGCAUCAUGGUGUCUCUCAGCUCUCAACUGGAGGUGAACCUUCUUCCUUUCAAUUUCGAGGACAUAAUCUAUCACACAGUGAGAAACAAAUUUUUCAUUCAGAAAUGAACACGCAACAAGGUUCUAGGCCUUCUGCAGGACAAACCUUGCGCUUGAUGGGUCGUGAUCUUACAGUAUCCAAUACUAGAGUCGACAAUUGGUCUGAGGCGGCACAGAAACAACCAAAUCCUACUAAAGACCAUCUUACCAACAGGUUGGUGUUGGAACUGCCACGACAAGGUCAGCCUUUCCUAUCAUUACAAACUCAGAGUAUUCCCAACAUUUCAGCAAGUUCUGCAAGCACGGUAGCUCAUAUUUCAGCAAGUUCAGGAAGCACAACUCAGGCACAUUUUAGACACAGAACCCCACAUAAUGUCAGCCACCCUUUGCCCGCUGCCAAUGUGUUCCCUGGUGAUCCAAGAUGUGAAGACAGGUGGAGGGACUUUACAGACUUGCAAUCUCAUAGAAAUGUUCUAUUUGGAUGUCCACCACUUUCCAAUCAUGGCAGUGCUGCCUUUAUUCAGAAUUCGCCACCUCCUUGGUGUUAUUACUCUGAUCAUUCCACUAAGACAGAUUCGCCCUCAGCACCAUUUUCACCAAUAAAUAUGGAGCAUGUGACACCGUCUUCAGAUUACCAUGCCAAUUUGCCUAUGUCAUAUGGUCUGUACUCUGCAAACUCAUCAGUUCACCGUAAUAACUCUGCAAAUUUUACAUGGAACCACCCAGACCAGAUAGUUCAAGGAGUUCCUGAUAGCAGAGCCUCAGCAGCCCUUCCAUCCAGAAACGCAGGAACUCGAAUGGCAAGAGCUGAUCCUGACAAUGCUACUUCAUCUAGCAGCCGUUUUGUGCUGAGGUCAGGCCCAGUGAAGCUCAGCCCCGGGGCGAAGCAUAUCCUGAUACCGAGUGAGAAUACAGAGGAUGGCAAUUCCGCACCAAUGUACUCUUGUGUGUCCUUUGGUAGCAGUAAUGGAAAUGUUUCGGCUCCUCACCAGAACAAAGGAGCAGGUUCCCGUAGGUUCUAGUCCAAAAUCAUAUGUUUUCUGAGCAGCUCCUGAUGAAGAGGUUACAGGUUUUGAAGGGAGUACUUCAUGGUAUCAAGCAUGGACGUGCUACAUGAAUUGAAGCUGAUGGCAUAAGCAAUCGAUGGCGAUGGUGAUGUGAGAGGAUACAAUGUACUGUGUGGAGGAUACCUGAUCUCAUAUGGAGGGUACAUGGUUUUGUUCCGUGGCUUGGAAGACUUCGACAGAUCCCUUUAGUUCUGCAGUUGUUUAUUCCCUUUUUUUAAAAAAAAGACAAAAAUUUGAAAAAUGGCAAGUGAGCUCAGGUGUGUGACAAAAAUUUGAACUGGUUGUGCCAUCUGGAGUUCAUGGCUUUAAGGGAAAACUAGACAAGGUAGUUCUUUUUUA